rnacentral:rRNA from 1 species
UACGUAGGUGGCAAGCGUUGUCCGGAAUUAUUGGGCGUAAAGCGCGCGCAGGCGGUUCCUUAAGUUUGAUGUGAAAGCCCCCGGCUCAACCGGGGAGGGUCAUUGGAAACUGGGGAACUUGAGUGCAGAAGAGAAGAGCGGAAUUCCCCGUGUAGCGGUGAAAUGCGUAGAGAUGUGGAGGAACACCAGUGGCGAAGGCGGCUCUUUGGUCUGUAACUGACGCUGAGGCGCGAAAGCGUGGGGAGCAAACAGG